AUUCUGUAUCACCCUCGCUCAAGGACCUGGACUGAAGGAUUUCUGCUUUCAAGAAGAAAAAAAAAAAUAGAAGACAUGUUUACUAAUACACUGGUAAUUAUUUCUAUUCAUAUUUUAUUGGCCAAAGCGAGUCAUAUGGGUAUACAACAUAAAAUGAGGUGCAGAAUUUCAAUCCUAUCAUUUGCUUGGAAGGUGGAGAGUCAUAUUUGGAGAACAUGAGUUCUAUAAUUGUUGGAUGUAACAGUCUAUACAUGUCCACUAAGUCAAGUUUGCUAAUCGUGUUUAAAUAAUCUAUAUCCUUACUCAUGUAUCUGUUCACUUCUUGCAGUUUUGUCAAUCUUAGUUUUAUAUUUUUGAAGCUAUAUUAUGUGUACAAGUUUUAUAAUCAUUGUACUUUCUCAUGAGUUAAACUUUUUAUCAUUAUGAUAAUGCUUUUUGCCUUAAAGUCUACUUUGUCUAAUAUUAAUAUAGAUAACAUUAAUUUUUGUUAAUAUUUAUAUUUUUCCACUUUUUAAUUUCAACAUUAUAAUACAAAUGUUUUAGGUAUGUUUCUUAUAAACAGUAUGCAGAUUGUUAUCCAAUUCAAUCUUUGAUUUUUAAUUGAACUAUUUAAUUUAUUUACAUUUAAUGUAAUUACUGAUAUAUUUGAAUUUAAAUAUACCGUCUUCUUAAGUGUUUUCAAUUGUCUCACAUGCUCUCUGUUCUCUUUAUCCUCACUUUUUGCCUGCUUUUGGAAAAUAUUGUUUUUGCCUCCAUUGUUUUGGAAGUUACAUAUCUUUUUAGUAGUCUUUUAGAGUUUAUCCUAUAGAUCACAGUAUGGGUCUCUGAGUUAGCAAAGGCUAAUAAUGUUAAUUGGCACUUUCAUUUUCUUCCAUAAUAGUACAAGGACCUUAGAACGUUUCAAUUCAUUUACUUCCUCUCCUGAUUUGUAUGCACUUUUAAUAUUUUUAAUUUUUUAAAUCUUCAGCACUGUGUUACAUUGUUUCAUACGGUAUAAUUCAUUUAGACUUCCUCAAAUGGACCUUCGUGCUGGACCUCAUUUCUUUCUGCAUCUAUAUAACCUAUCAUCCUUAAUCAUCUUCCUUCUGCUUAAAGAACAUCCUUUAGUAUUUGAUGCUGGUAAAGAAUCCUGAAAAUGUCUUAAUUUCACUUUUAUUAUUGAAGGCUAUUUUCACUGGACAUAGAAUUCUAAUGUUGACAGUUAUUUUAUUUCAGCACUUGAAAGACAUUUAAAUUCCACUAAUUUCUAGUUUCCAUUGUUUCUAUCAAGAGGUAAGCUAACAGUCUAUUACAUUUUUUCAAGUAAUGACAGCUGCUUGUAAUUUUUUUUUCCCUUUGUCUUUGGUUUUCAUCUGUCUUAUUGUGAUGUACCUAGGUGUGGCUUUUAAAAAUUUCUCCUGCUUGCAGCUCCCAGGGCUUCUGAGAUUUGUGGCUUGUUGUCUUUAAUCAAUUUUGGGAAUUUUUCAACUAUUUUCUCUUCAAAUAUUGAUGCUGCACCAUUCUCUUUCUCUUCUCCUUCUGAAAUUUUAAUUCUCAUUUUAUCUCCAUAUCUCUUACUCUCUGUAGCAUUGCUAUCCUUUUGUCUCUCCAUGUUUCGUCAUGAUGUUGUCUUCUAACCUACUUUCCAGUUCAUCAAUUUUCCCUACAGCUGUGUAUAAUUUUUUGUUAAACCAAGUAAAGAGUAUCCACUGAGCUCUUUGCUUUUGUUAGUAUAUAUUUUAAAUUCUAAAUUGUUCACUGGUUAUUUUUUACAACUUUUUCAUCCUUUUUUAAAGUUUUCAGUUCUCUGCCAAAUUUGUUGAUACUGUCUUUUAUCUCCGUAUGUGUAGUAAACAUAAUUAAUUUAAAGUCCGUAUCUGAUAAAUCCAUUAACUGGAGUUCUGUGGUAUUGUUUCUAUUGUAGUUGUUUCUACUGGAUCUCAUGUUUUCUUAUUUCUUUAUGGGCCUGGUUAUUCUCUUGUGUGCUAAAAUUGUAUAUGAAAAAUUGUUGGUUGAAGUAAAGUAAAACUUAUUGUGUUAUAUUCCUCCUGAGAGUACAGUCAUCCCUCAGUAUCCACAGCAGGAUUGGUUCCAGGACCUACUGCAGAUACCAAAAUCCAUGCAGAUUUCAUUUCCACAAUCAACCCUGUGGAAUCCAUGGAUAUAAAACGUCGACCCUCCAUAUAUAAGUGAGUUUGGCAUCCUGCAACUACUGUCUUUUAUAUUUAUGUUUGGUUGCAGAUGCAGAAUUCACCAAAGCCUAAUCCAGAGCAAGGCCCUAACUCUUCAAUUCUAUGAAGGCUAAGAGAGCUGAGGAAGCUGUAGAAGAAAAACUGCAAGCUAGCAGGGGUUGGUUUAUGAAGUUUAAGGAAAUAAACCAUUCCGUAACAUAAAAGUGUAAGAUAAAGCAGCAAGUGCUGAUGUAGAAGCUGCAGCAAAUUAUUCAGAAGAUCUAGCUGAGAUCAUGGAUGGCGGUGGUUACACUAAACAACAGAGUUCCAGGGUAGACAAACAGCCUUCUAUUGGAAUAAGAUGCCAUCUAGGACUUUCAUAGCUAGAGAAGAGUGGGCUGACUAUAUUUAUUUUAAAAAUCCAUGUAUAGGCUGGGCGCAGUGGCUCACGCCUGUAAUCCCAGCAGCACUUUAGGAGGCUGAGGCAGGUGGGUCACCUGAGGUCAGGAGUUUGAGACCAGCCUGGCCAACAUGGUGAAACCCUGUCUCUACUAAAACUAAAAAAAUUAGCUGGCAUGGUGGCAGGCACCUGUAAUCCCAGCUACUCAGGAGGCUGAGGCAGGAGAAUUGCUUGAACCUGGGAGGCGGAGGUUGUAGUAAGCCGAGAUCGCGCCAUUGCACUCCAGCCUGGAUGACAAGAGCGAAAUUCUGUCCAAAAAAAAAAAAAAAAUCCAUGUAUAAAUGAGCCAUACAGUUCAAACCCAUGUUGUUCAAGGGUCAACUGUAUUUAUAUUUGCUUUUGCAAGAUACCUGGGGAUGUGAGGACCUGGGAUCACCUUUAUCCAAUUUGAAGAAUUAAGCUAAUUGGAUCUCAGCUGAGGCCCCACAAAAUCUCAUCUACUUCCAUCCAAGUCAUCCUGUCUUUUCUCUUUUUUAAAUUUUUUUGGAGGUGGGGUCUCACUGUGCUGCCCAGGCUGGACAACAUAGGUCCAGUGGCACAAACAUAGGUCACUGCAGCCUUGCACUCUUGGGCUGAAGGGAUCUUCCCAAGUAGCUGGGGCUACAAGCACAUGCCACCAUGCUACCAUGCUGCGCUAAUUUUUUCAUUCAGUCUUAAGAUGAAGACUUUCAGGGUCCUAGCCUGCUAUGGGGAGUUAUAUGUCUACCCUCUCCUUUGGUGAGCACCGGAUUCCAACUUGUGUUUAUGUGGCCACACAAAGCUGCCCAGGUGCUGCUUAGUCUCUUCAGUUCUUUUUUUUUUUUUGAGAGGGAGUCUCACUCUGCACUGUGUCGCCCGUGCUGGAGUGCAGUGGCAUGAUCUCGGCUCACUGCAACGUCUGCCUCAUAGGUUCAAGCUCCUCCGCCUCCUGGGAGCCUGGGUGAUUCUCCUGCCUCAGCCUCCCGAGUAGCUGAGAUUAUAGGCACCCGCCACCACACCCAGCUAAUUUUUCUUUUGUAUUUUAAUAGAGAUGGGGUUUCACCAUGUUGGUCAGGCUGGUCUCAAACCCUAACCUCAAAUGAUCCACCUGCCUUGGCCUCCCAAUGUGCUGGGAUUACAGGUGUGAGCCACCACACCCGGCCAUCUCUCCAGUUCUUUGUUGUCGUUUCCAGAAGCAGCAAAUGUCCCAAGGGGAAAAGAGGCCCAGUUAUUGGGCUUGCCUCCUUGAAUACCCAUCUUUCUCCAGCUCUUCAUUGGUGAUUCUUCAUUAUCUUUUUAAGUCUGAUGUUUUCAAGCACAUUUUAUUUUAAUUUUUUCCCACUUUUCUAAUUGUUCUCAGCAGGACAGUAGGUCUGAAUUUAGUCUGCUAUUACCAGAUGGUAGGAAAUAGACAGGUAUGCUUCAUUUUGUCAUAGUUUGCUUUACUACACUGCAGAUAUUAUAUUUUUUACAAAUUGGAGGUUCGUGGUAACCCUGCAUUGAAGAAGCCUUUAGGUGCCAUUUUUCCAACAGCAUGUGCUCACUUUUUGUUUCUGGGUCAUAUUUUGAUAAUUCUCAUAAUAUCUCAGACUUUUUCAUUAUUAUUAUAUUUGUUAUGGUAAUCUAUGAUCAGUGAUCUUUGAGAUUACUCUUGUAAUCAUUUUGGGGUGCCAUAAACUGUGCUCAUAUAAGAUGGUGAAGUUCAUUGAUAAAUGUUGUGUGUUCUGACUUCUCCACCAAUCAGCCAUUUCCCAUCUUUUACAUUCUUUUCAGUCCUCCUUAUUCCCUGAGACACAACAAUAUUGAAAUUAGACUAAUCAAUAACCCUACAAUGUCCUCUAAGUGUUCAAGUGAAAGCAAGGGUGGCACAUCCCACACUUUAAAUCGAAAGCUAAAAAUGAUUAAGCUCAGUGAGGAAUGCAUGAGGAAAAGCCAAGAGAGGCCAAAAUAGAGGGCUUUUGUGCCAAACAGGUAGCCAAGUUGUGAAUGGAAAGGAAAAGUUCUUGAAGGAAAUUAAAAGCACUACUCCAGUGAACACACAAAUGAUAAGAGAGUAAAACAGCCUUAUUGCUGAUAUGGAGAAAGUUUGAGUGGUCUGGAUAGAAGAUCAAACCAGCAACAACAUUCCUUUAAGUUAAAGCCUAAUCCAGAGCAAGGCCCUAACUCGCUUCAAUUCAAUGAAGGCUGAGAGAGGUAAGGAAGCUACAGAAGAAAAAUUAGAAGCUAGCAGAGGUUGGUUCAUGAAAUUUAAGGACAUAAACCAUUUCCACAACAUAAAGUGCAAGGUGAAGCAGCAAGCGCUCAUGUAGAAGCUGCAGCAAGUUAUCCAGAAAAUCUAGCUAAGAUUAUGGAUGGUGGUGGCUACACUAAACAAUAGAAUUUCAAUGUAGACAAAACAUCUAUCAGAAUAAGAUGCCAUCUAAGACUUUCAUAGCUAAAGAGGAGAAAGCAAUGCCUGGCUUCAACGCUUCAAGGGACAGGCUGACUGUCUUAUUAGGGGCUAAUGCAACUGGUGGCUUUAAGCUGAAGCCAAUUGCUCAUUUUCCAUACAGAAAAUCUUUGGACCCUUACAAAUUAUGCUAAACCCAGGCCAGACACAGUGGCUCAUGCCUGUAAUUCUAGCACUUUGGGAGGUCGAGGCAGGCAGAUCACUUGAGCUCAGGAGUUCGAGACUGGCCUGGGCAACAGGGUGAAACCCCAUCUCUACAAAAAAAUACAAAAACUAGCCAGGUGUGGUGAAGUGUGCCUGCAGUCCCAGCUACUCAGGAGGGUGAGGCAGGAGAAUUUCUUGAGCCUGGAGGCUGAGGUUGCCGUGAGUCAAGAUCACGCCAUUGCACUCCAGCCUGGGUGACAGGAGUGAAACCCUGUCUCAAAACAAAGAAUUGUGCUAAAUCUAUUCUGCCUGUGCUCUAUAAAUGAAAUAACAAAGCCUGAAUGACAGCACAUCUGUUUAUGGCAUGUUUACUGAAUAUUUUAAGCCUACCGUUGAGACUUACUCCUCCAGGGAAAAAAAGGGAUUCCUUUCAAAAUAUUACUUCUUGUUGGCAAAUGCAUCUAGUAACUCAAAAGCUCUGACAGAGAUGUACAAGGAGAGUAAUAUUUUCAUGCUUUUAACACAACAUCCAUUCUGCAGUCCAUGGAUCAAGAAGUCAUUUCAACUUUCAAGUCCUAUUACUUAAGAAAUGCAUUUUUUAAGGCUAUAGUUGUCAUAGAUAGUGAUUUCUCUGAUGGAUCUGGGCAAAAUCAAUUGAAAACCCUCUGCAAAGAAUUUACCAUUUUAGAUGCCCUUAAGUACAUUCACGAUUCAUGGGAGGAGGUCAGAAUAUCAACAUUAGCAGGAGUUUGGAAGAAGUUGAUUCUAACCCUCACGGAUGACUUAGAGGAGUUCAAGACUUCACUAGAGGAAGUCACUGCGGAGGUGCUGGAAACAGAAAACUAGAAUUAGAAGUGGAGCCUGAAAAUGUGCCUGAAUUGCUUCAAUCUUGUAACGGUUAAUACUGAGUGUUCACUUGAUUGGAUUGAAGGAUGCAAAGUAUUGUUCCUGGGUGUGUCUGUGUGAGCUUCCCUAGUUUUGAGGUUUUGGGACUUGGACUGGUUUCCUUGCUCCUCAGGUUGCAGAUGGCCUAUUGUGGCACUUCGCCUUGUGAUCAUGUGAGUCAGUACUCCUUAAUAAACUCCCGUUCAUUUAUACAUCUAUCCUAUAAGUUCUGCCUCUCUAGAGAACCCUAAUACAAAUUUCAUGAUAAAACUUGAACGAAAGAGGAGCUGCUUCUUAUGGAUGAGCAAAGAAAGUGAUUUCUUGAGAUGGACUCUACUCCUAGUAGAGAUGCUGUGAACAUUGUUGAAAUGACAAUAAAGGAUUUAGAAUAUUCCGUAAACUUAGUUAAUACAGAAGCAGCAGCAUUUGAGAGGACUGACUCCACUUUUGAAAGAAGUUCUACUGUUAUUAAAUGCUACCAAAUAUGGUACAGAGAAAUAUUUUGUGAAAGGAAGAGUCCAUUGACAUGGCAAGCUUCAUUACUGUCAUAUUUUAAUAACUUGCCACAGCUACCUCAAACUUCAGCAACCACCAGUCUGAUCAGUCAGUAACCAUCAAUAUCGAGGCAAGACCUUCCACCAGGAAAAAGAUUAUAACUCACUGAAGGCUCAGACGAUCAUUACUAUUUUUUUAGCAGCAAAGUAUUUUUAAUUGAGGUAUGUACAUUUUUAGACAUAAUGCUCUUGCACACUUACUAGACUACAGCAUACUGUCAACAUAACUUUUAUAGGCACUGGGAACCAAAAAUUUGUAUGAUUCACUUUGUUGCAAUACUUGCCUUACUGCGGCAGUCUGGAACCAAACCCACAAUAUCUCCAAGGUCCACCUGCAAAUGCAGGCAGUGGGCCAGGUAUACAUGCAUACAUAUGCCUUAUGUGAGGGGUGGGCACUGAGGUUAACUAGAAAGCAUGAGCCUAUUUUUGCCUUGUGGUAAUAAGGGCCUCAUAUUGCCAAAUUUUUCCAUUUUUUUCAAAAGAAGUAGGAAAGGAAAUGCAGGCUUUUAAAAUGUGAAAUCCCAAUUUUCAAUUGUUGGUUCAAAAAAAACUUAAAUCUCAACUAGCCAAAUAAAAUGCAUCUGGGGUCCACACCCAGCUACCCUAUAGGAUACUAAUUUAAAAUAUCUGGACUAUAGUCUAUAUUGAUGAGAGAAGUGGGGUGAAACUUGGCAUUCCCUUGCCAUUAACUUCUAGCCUCCCAGUAGUCCAGGCUGCCUUGAAUAAACACCAGACCAUCAUACAAAACAGAGUUUUUAUCUUAUUUAUUUAUUUAUGAGUUGGGUGUCUUGCUGCAUUACUCAGGAUGGAGUGCAGUGGCACAAUCAUAGUUCACUGAGGCCACGAACUGCUGUGCUCAAGUGAUCCUCUCACCUCAGCCUCCUGAGUAGCUGGGACUACAGGUGUAUGCCACCACAUAAGGCUAAUUUUAAUUUGUUUUUGAGAGACAGAGUCUUGCUAUGUUGCCCAGGCUGGUCUUAAACUCCUGGCCUCAAGCAAUCUUUCCACCUUGGCCUCUGAAAGUACUAGGAUUAUAGAAGUGAGCCGCUAUGCUUGACCAAAACACAGUUUUUAAAUCAAUUUAUGUCUUUACUGAAAUCUCUUAAAGAUGCCAAAGGGUGGGGUUUGGGUUCCAUUCAUAACACCAACAUUUCUGAAGAAUCCUCUUCUCUUGUCUCUUUCUCAAGUCCUCCUCAUGACAUCUGUGUUAGUCCGUUCUCACACUGCUAUGAAGGACUGCCUGAGACUGGGUAAUUUAUAAAAGAAAGAGGUUUUAAUUGACUCACAGUUCCACAGGGGUGGGAAGGCCUCAGGCGGAAGGGGAAGCAACCACAUCCUUCUUCACAUAGCGGCAGGAAGGAGAAGUGCCAAGCAAAGGGGAAAAGCCUUUCAUAAACCCAUCAGGUCUCAUGAGAACUCAAGAAGAGCAUGGGGAUAUGUGGAGGAAAAGUUAAAUCUUAAAUUUGAACUCAAUUGAAUGUGGACACAAACAAUGGUCACCAAGUCCCAGAACAGGUUGCAUGAGCCCCUUGAGGCGUUCAUCCAGACGGUUUUGGAGAAAUCUGUUCCUGUAUGUUAGUUAUUGAAAAACAACAAACAAUCAUAAAAACAAGUUGACCUUUUUGUGUUCCUUGAGUCCAGUCAUGAAGGGCCCUCGUGACUGGGCCUCAUGCCAAAUAAGUCGUUACAAAAAGAACUAGGGUCCCAUACCACGCCAAAGCUUCAUGAGACCUCUCCUCAUCUGUGCAUGGAUGAGCGGUCAACUCUGGAGCCCAGGCUGUUGCUUCCCUGUCUGGUGAUGAAUCCUCUAUAGUCUGGUAAGUGUAGUGGCCGACUCUGGAGCCCAGGCUGUUGCUUCUGGUCUGGUGAUGAAUCCUCCAUCGUCUGGUGAGUGUGUGUGUAUAUAUAUAUAGUCUAUAUUGAUGGGAGAAGUGGGGUGAAAGUUGGCAUGCCCUUGCCAUUAACUUCUAGCCUCCCAGUAGUCCAGGCUAUAUAUAUAUAUCUUCUCCCUUUUCCCCUUCCCAUUGCAAUUUGCUUGUAUCAUUUGCUUAUUAUAUCUGCAUUGCCAUUUACAUGGGAUAAAGGUUGUUUACCCUUGAAGGUAUUGCAUGUGUGUCUUUUCUUUUCCCUUUGUGCAUCUCCCUCAUAGAAAAGAGUAACCGCCCCCAUGAUUCAAUUGCCUACCACUGGGUCCCUCCCACAACACGUGGGGAUUAUAGGAACUACAAUUCAAGAUGAGAUUUGGGUGGGGACACAGCCAAACCAUAUCAACAGCCCAGCAGCUACUUCAGUCCUCCUUAAUUUAUCUCUUGAAUUCUCCCAAACCCAGCUCAUCCCUGGCUUGUUUCUCUUAUUCUUUCUCUCGCCUUCUGAUCCAUUCUGCUUUCGUUAGUAUGUAACUCCCUGCCUUCUCUUAGGUAGACCCAUCAACCCAUCCUACCCAUGGUACUGCACAAUUCAGAAUCCUUUCCCAAAUUUUCCCUUAUUAUGCACAAGAAAUACUCCAGGGCCAGGUGCAAUGGCUCACGCCUGUAAUCCCAGAACUUUGGAAGGCUGAGGCAGGAGGAUCGCUUGAGCCCAAGAGUUCAAGGCUGUAGUUAGUGAUGUUGGUGCCACUGCACUCCAGCCUAGGCAACACAACAAGACACUAUCUCAAUUAAAAGAAAAAAAAAGAAAAAAGAAAAAGAAAUACUCCAGAACUUGGCUAGUGAAGACUAAUUCCUCCUUCACAGGAAGGAAGUGGGGGCAGGGGAAAAUGAUGCUGUAAAUACUCUAAAAUAUGUAUUUUUUCCUGUCCCAUCAGCUAUGCCAUCUGGGAUGGGGUGACGCCUGGAUGAGAUGUCAUUUUAAAGGACAUUUCUGGGACAUGCUGGCAUCAAGGCAAGUUUUCAGGCUGGAAGCCAUUUGGGCAGAGGCAGAAUCUGGGCUCAGAGUCUAGCCCUGCAGGACCCAGUGUGGCAGCUGCGUGUCUCUGGAGCACUGGAGAGGGGGCUACUGCAAAUUAAGAUCUGCUGUAAAGAGCAUCUUCCUGGUUAUUCUCUGGGACGCAAAACCAUGGUGGUAUCUGAUCUCAUCACACUUCUGCCAGGAGGUGAAAUCGAAGAGGCUACAUUCUUGAUGCUCAGUGUCUUCUUCAGGUCAUUUGCCUGAGGACACCUGGGGAUACUGAGCCCUCACAGAGCUUCCAGUCCUCCAUGAAAUGCAGGGUUGCCGCCUGAAAACAGACCAAAGGGGGCACACGACAUGGUUCUGACAGCAUGGGUAAAUACAAGGAAGCUGGGAGCCGUGCAAUGCUGCACACGUCCCCUCCCCGGCUUCAUCUCCCAUUCCCUCCCACCCAGCUGCUGUUGCAGGGCCCCCUGCCUUCUUUUUCACUCUCAACAGCACACCCUCAGUUUGCCCUUGUUUUCAUUUCCUUUUCCCCUUACCUCCCAUACCUCUUUUCCAAUCUCUCCCCCUCCCGUUCUGGUUUUGUUGUAAAUCACAAAAUUUCAGGAACAGGCCCAGCAAGGACAGAAGCCCCAAGGGGCAGGGGAAAAGGAGAGAAACUGCAUAGAUAAGAACAGGCUUCUUCUCAGAGUAAAGACUAAGAAGACACAGCCGUACUGUAAUAGUAGUUACCCUUGUCCGAAGGGCAGUGCAAGCCUGGAAAAGGGAGACCACCCGUGGGCUAGGGAGUGGGGAAGAAGCUCAUUAGGGUGUCUGGACACGAGCUAAACCUUCACAGGGCACGGGGACUUGGGAAAGCAGAGGGGACGGAGAGGCCAUGCCAGCCC
rnacentral:lncRNA from 1 species